UACAGAGGGUGCAAGCGUUAAUCGGAGUUACUGGGCGUAAAGGGCGCGUAGGCGGUUAUACAUGUGUGAUGUGAAAGCCCCGGGCUUAACCUGGGAAGUGCAUCGCAAACUGUAUGACUGGAGUUCAGAAGAGGGUGGCGGAAUUUCCGGUGUAGCGGUGAAAUGCGUAGAGAUCGGAAGGAACGUCGAUGGCGAAGGCAGCCACCUGGUCUGAAACUGACGCUGAGGCGCGAAAGCGUGGGGAGCGAACAGG
rnacentral:rRNA from 1 species